rnacentral:rRNA from 1 species
AGACCCGAAACCCGGUGAUCUAGCCAUGGGCAGGUUGAAGGUUGGGUAACACUAACUGGAGGACCGAACCGACUAAUGUUGAAAAAUUAGCGGAUGACCUGUGGCUGGGGGUGAAAGGCCAAUCAAACCGGGAGAUAGCUGGUUCUCCCCGAAAGCUAUUUAGGUAGCGCCUCGUGAAUUCAUCUCCGGGGGUAGAGCACUGUUUCGGCUAGGGGGUCAUCCCGACUUACCAACCCGAUGCAAACUGCGAAUACCGGAGAAUGUUAUCACGGGAGACACACGGCGGGUGCUAACGUCCGUCGUGAAGAGGGAAACAACCCAGACCGCCAGCUAAGGUCCCAAAGUCAUGGUUAAGUGGGAAACGAUGUGGGAAGGCCCAGACAGCCAGGAUGUUGGCUUAGAAGCAGCCAUCAUUUAAAGAAAGCGUAAUAGCUCACUGGUCGAGUCGGCCUGCGCGGAAGAUGUAACGGGGCUAAACCAUGCACCGAAGCUGCGGCAGCGACACUGUGUGUUGUUGGGUAGGGGAGCGUUCUGUAAGCCUGUGAAGGUGGCCUGUGAGGGUUGCUGGAGGUAUCAGAAGUGCGAAUGCUGACAUAAGUAACGAUAAAGCGGGUGAAAAGCCCGCUCGCCGGAAGACCAAGGGUUCCUGUCCAACGUUAAUCGGGGCAGGGUGAGUCGACCCCUAAGGCGAGGCCGAAAGGCGUAGUCGAUGGGAAACGGGUUAAUAUUCCCGUACUUGGUGUUACUGCGAAGGGGGGACGGAGAAGGCUAUGUUGGCCGGGCGACGGUUGUCCCGGUUUAAGCGUGUAGGUGUGUGUUCCAGGUAAAUCCGGUUCACUUUAACACUGAGGCGUGACGACGAGGCACUACGGUGCUGAAGCAACAAAUGCCCUGCUUCCAGGAAAAGCCUCUAAGCAUCAGGUAACAUCAAAUCGUACCCCAAACCGACACAGGUGGUCAGGUAGAGAAUACCAAGGCGCUUGAGAGAACUCGGGUGAAGGAACUAGGCAAAAUGGUGCCGUAACUUCGGGAGAAGGCACGCUGACACGUAGGUGAAGUGAUUUACUCACGGAGCUGAAGUCAGUCGAAGAUACCAGCUGGCUGCAACUGUUUAUUAAAAACACAGCACUGUGCAAACACGAAAGUGGACGUAUACGGUGUGACGCCUGCCCGGUGCCGGAAGGUUAAUUGAUGGGGUCAGCGCAAGCGAAGCUCCUGAUCGAAGCCCCGGUAAACGGCGGCCGUAACUAUAACGGUCCUAAGGUAGCGAAAUUCCUUGUCGGGUAAGUUCCGACCUGCACGAAUGGCGUAAUGAUGGCCAGGCUGUCUCCACCCGAGACUCAGUGAAAUUGAACUCGCUGUGAAGAUGCAGUGUACCCGCGGCAAGACGGAAAGACCCCGUGAACCUUUACUAUAGCUUGACACUGAACAUUGAGCCUUGAUGUGUAGGAUAGGUGGGAGGCUUUGAAGCGUGGACGCCAGUCUGCGUGGAGCCGACCUUGAAAUACCACCCUUUAAUGUUUGAUGUUCUAACGUGGACCCGUGAUCCGGGUUGCGGACAGUGUCUGGUGGGUAGUUUGACUGGGGCGGUCUCCUCCUAAAGAGUAACGGAGGAGCACGAAGGUUGGCUAAUCCUGGUCGGACAUCAGGAGGUUAGUGCAAUGGCAUAAGCCAGCUUGACUGCGAGCGUGACGGCGCGAGCAGGUGCGAAAGCAGGUCAUAGUGAUCCGGUGGUUCUGAAUGGAAGGGCCAUCGCUCAACGGAUAAAAGGUACUCCGGGGAUAACAGGCUGAUACCGCCCAAGAGUUCAUAUCGACGGCGGUGUUUGGCACCUCGAUGUCGGCUCAUCACAUCCUGGGGCUGAAGUAGGUCCCAAGGGUAUGGCUGUUCGCCAUUUAAAGUGGUACGCGAGCUGGGUUUAGAACGUCGUGAGACAGUUCGGUCCCUAUCUGCCGUGGGCGCUGGAGAACUGAGGGGGGCUGCUCCUAGUACGAGAGGACCGGAGUGGACGCAUCACUGGUGUUCGGGUUGUCAUGCCAAUGGCACUGCCCGGUAGCUAAAUGCGGAAGAGAUAAGUGCUGAAAGCAUCUAAGCACGAAACUUGCCCCGAGAUGAGUUCUCCCUGAGACUUAGAGUCUCCUGAAGGAACGUUGAAGACGACGACGUUGAUAGGCCGGG